ACUUUGGCUUUUUUAAAAGCCAUUAAAAAAGCUUUAGAAGCAAAG
rfam:Fulmarus glacialis contig87901, whole genome shotgun sequence.